AACACAAACCAUAGCUGCUGUGCUGCAGAUUACUUUUAACUAUUCGAUCUGGACUCAUAAAGUUCCUUCGCUCCUUCCUUGGAAUAUCUUAG